rnacentral:rRNA from 1 species
GACGUAGGGGGCGAGCGUUGUCCGGAUUUAUUGGGCGUAAAGCGCACGUAGGCGGAUUGUUAAGUCAGGGGUGAAAUCCUGGAGCUCAACUCCAGAACUGCCUUGAUACUGGCGAUCUUGAGUCCGGAGAGGUGAGUGGAACUGCGAGUGUAGAGGUGAAAUUCGUAGAUAUUCGCAAGAACACCAGUGGCGAAGGCGGACUCACUGGUCCAUUACGUGACGCUGAGGUGCGAAAGCGUGGGGAGCAAACAGG